rnacentral:rRNA from 1 species
GACGAACGCUGGCGGCGUGCUUAACACAUGCAAGUCGAACGGAAAGGCCCUGCUUUUGUGGGGUGCUCGAGUGGCGAACGGGUGAGUAACACGUGAGUAACCUGCCCUUGACUUUGGGAUAACUUCAGGAAACUGGGGCUCAUACCGGAUAGGAGCUCCUGCUGCAUGGUGGGGGUUGGAAAGUUUCGGCGGUUGGGGAUGGAAUGGCGGCUUAUCAGCUUGUUGGUGUGGUAGUGGCUUACCAAGGCUUUGACGGGUAGCCGGCCUGAGAGGGUGACCGGCCACAUUGGGACUGAGAUACGGACCAGACUCCUACGGGCGGCAGAAGUGGGGAAUAUUGCACAAUGGGCGGAAGCCUGAUGCAGCAACGCCGCGUGCGGGAUGACGGCCUUCGGGUUGUAAACCGCUUUCGCCUGUGACGAAGCGUGAGUGACGGUAAUGGGUAAAGAAGCACCGGCUAACUACGUG